UGAGGAGCGAAAGGUGGGNAGCAAACAGGCUUAGAUACCCUGGUAGUCCACCCCGUAAACGUUGGNAACUAGUUGUGGGGACCAUUCCACGGUUUCCGUGACGCAGCUAACGCAUUAAGUUCCCCGCCUGGGGAGUACGGCCGCAAGGCUAAAACUCAAAGGAAUUGACGGGGACCCGCACAAGCGGCGGAGCAUGCGGAUUAAUUCGAUGCAACGCGAAGAACCUUACCAAGGCUUGACAUAUACGAGAACGGGCCAGAAAUGGUCAACUCUUUGGACACUCGUAAACAGGUGGUGCAUGGUUGUCGUCAGCUCGUGUCGUGAGAUGUUGGGUUAAGUCCCGCAACGAGCGCAACCCUCGUUCUAUGUUGCCAGCACGUAAUGGUGGGAACUCAUGGGAUACUGCCGGGGUCAACUCGGAGGAAGGUGGGGAUGACGUCAAAUCAUCAUGCCCCUUAUGUCUUGGGCUUCACGCAUGCUACAAUGGCCGGUACAAAGGGCUGCAAUACCGUGAGGUGGAGCGAAUCCCAAAAAGCCGGUCCCAGUUCGGAUUGAGGUCUGCAACUCGACCUCAUGAAGCCGGAGUCGCUAGUAAUCGCAGAUCAGCAACGCU
rnacentral:rRNA from 1 species